UGCAGACCCCUGACCACGCGAUGAAUGAAUAAAGUACACUGACACACAGAUAUUCUGCUCUGCCAGUCCAGCUGAGGGUCCAAGCCCCUUACAGGCUCCCUGCUGAGCCCUGUAAACAGUUGCGACUCGGCAGGGAGCCUGUAAGCACCUGGGACCCUCAGAAUAUCUGUGUGUCAGCGUACUUUAUUCACCGGUCAUUGGGUCAGGGGUCUGCAAGGGACAGACUCCCCACAGCUGGUGACCCCUCGAGAGGAGCCCUGCCCCCAGCUGGUGCCCCAUGUGAGGCGCUGUGUGAGGAACUGUGUGAGGAAUGCUGUGAAGGAAACGCGACGAACCGCCCGAAAACGAAGCUGUUCGUGGCAGUACAUUGCGGAGCAUAGAACGAAACCGGGUGUGGAACACUGAGUCCCAAGGAUAGCCAUCUUCAGAGAUACGGCUCAUGACCCAGGUGCCAUGCCUGGUGCUGAUAAAAACCUGGCAAGCAAAAAGAAAUGCAGUUUAAAUUAGGGCAUUGUCCCGUUUAGGAGGAAUCUACUAUGAAGGUCAUGUAUCACAUGUGUAGCCCCAGAAUUUACAGAGGUUCUGUUUUAAAGAUGAUUGACCUCAAUGUAAAGUACCUCCUAAAUAGGGGUACCCAGUGGCAUUUACACUGAUGCAGGAAGACUGCAACAAAAUCUUGAGAACUUCAUGGAGACACGAGAAAGUCUUUGGGCUAACUCUGAUGAUAAAAUCCACAAGUCUUUCCCAUGUUUACAGUUGUGGUUUGCUGCUCCUUAAGAGAAAGUUCCUCCCUCCCUCCUCUCAUGUUUUCCACUCACCUAAGUUUCUUCUAUAGUGCAGGUAGAAUGAUUAUAAUCCUUGGAAAUGUGCGAUUAUAGCCUAGUGACUACACAAGUAUAAGUGUAUAUGCAUCUGAAUAUCCCUGGAUGGAGAAUAACAGGGGAAAUAAUCUUCCUUCCAUACUUAAAAGACUUUAUUUUGUGUGUGUGUGUGUGUGUGUGUGUGUGUGUGUGUGAGACAGGGUCUUGCUCUGUCACUCAGGCUGGACUGCAGUUGUGCAGUCAUAGCUCAUUGCAGUCUCGACCUCCCAGGCUCAAGUGAUCCUCCCACCUCAGUAUCAGACAUGUACCACCACAUCCAGCUAAUUCAAACAAUUUUUUUGUAGAGACGGUCUCAUUAUGUUGCCCAGGUCGGUCUCAAAUUUCUGGGCUUAAGCAAUCCUCCUGCCGCAGCCUCCCAAAGUGCUGGGAUUACAGGCAUGAGACACAGUGCUUGUAAUGUAUUUUAAAAGUUAAAAACUCUGAACUUAUACUGUGAUUCUCUUUCUCUUCAAGUGCACAUCUGAAUCCUCUUUCAGGUGUAUUCUUUACCUUGUUUAUUAAGAUUUCCCUUGUUUCCAAAAUGUACAUUUAAUCUCUUUUCAAAUGUAUAUUUUGCUGUGUUUGCUGUUACUCCCCCAUUGGCCAAAUGCAUACUUGAACUGCUUCUUAAAUUUUUACAUACCAUGCAAUAAGUUUUUGUUUAAGGCUAUACUUGAUAAACACAUAAGAUUCACUUGCAAGGUAACCAAUUUACUUGAGAGGUUUGGAUACAGACUGCUUGGGUUUGAAUCCCAAUCACACUACUGUGGGUGAACUAUUUCAAUCUGUGUUGCCAUGGUUGAAUUAUUUCAAUCUCUCUGUGCCUCAGUUUCUCUCUCUGUAAAAUGGGGGUAUUAACAGUACCUACCUCAUGGCAUUCUUGUGUAGAUUAAAUGAGGUGGUAUAUAUAAAGUACUUGAAAUAUUGCCUGGCAAGUGAUAAGUACUGCUAGCUGUUAAGUUAUAAAGUUAGGCUGGAAGAGAGGAGUUUCAUACAGUGCCUUAUGUCUGGAGUAAACCAGAAUUUGGAGACAAAUUUUGUGGGGAUGGGCCUUACAUUCCUAGCUUGUGAAGUAGCACCUAUACCAAGCAUUCCUAUAUUGCUGGUCUGUGUGUGGUAUAUACCUAUGUUCUGAAUUUCUCCUGCCGUUGCCCUUAUAGGCUGACUUGGCAAUACUUUGAUUAGAUAUUAGAUACAAAAAUAUUUUCAUUAGUGUCUCUUUCCAUUACUUACUGUCCCCUCUUCUUUCUCAGGAGCAAACCAUGUUUCAAAUGGUAUGCUCUGCCCGUUUGAUUCACUCUUUUUCUGUUGUGACCCUCCCUACAGCAGGGUGGUCUAACCUGCCUUAAUGACACUAGCUGCAACAGUGAGAGAAACAUGAGGAUUUAGGCUCAGGCUGCUUUCUCUGAGACGCAUGUUUUAGGUCAAAGGCCAGAGAUUUGGUUUUUGGUCAGAAGUAUGUAAAUGACUAAUAUGGUUUGGCUGUGUGUCCCUACCCACAUCUCACCUUAAAUUAUAAUAAUCCCCACGUGUCAAGGGCAGGACCAGGUGGAGAUAAUUCAGUCAUGGGGGAGGUUUCUGCCAUGCUGUUCUCCUAAUAGGGAGUAAGUUCUCACGAGAUCUGAUGGUUUUAUAAGGGUUCCCCCUUCGCUCUCAUUCUUUCUCCUGCAGCCUCGUAAAGAGGUGCAUUCCGUCAUGAUUGUUAGUUUCCUGAGGCUUCCCCAGCCAUGCCAAACUGUAAGUCAAUUAAACCUCUUUUCUUUAUAAAUUACCCAGUCUCGGGUAUGUCUACAUAGCAGCGUUGAGAAUGGACUAAUACAAUGAUGCAGCACCAUCCCAUAUGAUCUUGAGUGGUGCUUUUGGAUUGUGGUAGAGGGUGCUGUAUCCUUAUGAAGGUGAAUUUCUUUUAACAGAGCAGUGCACACUCAGAAUUUUGGUGAGUUCAGGUUGUAAUUUCAAGUUUUGCAGAUGCGCCUAGUUCCGUUCCUAGCAUGUAUAGCUCCUGUAAAGUCUCUGGUUAGUCUUUUCACAGAAGGCUUGAGAGUAUAUUACUCUGUGUAAGAGGUUUUAUCAUAGUUAUAGAUUUAUGUUGUUACUCUAAUAAAUAUUGAAGAGAUUAGUGCAGAUGAAUGAGUAUAAUCCUGGAAAUGUAUGAUUAUAACAUUAUAUUUAGGAGGAAUCUAUUAUGUAGGUGAUGUAUCACAUGCAUAGCCCCAGAAUUUACUGAGGCUCUGUUUUAAAGAUGAUUGACCUCAAAGUGAAGUACCUCCUAAAAAGGGGGCAUCUAGUGGCAUUUACACUGAUAGAGGGAGAUGGAAACAAAGUCUUUUGCACUCUGUGCAAAAGAUUGUUUAAGAAGCUGUAAGGCAUGCAUAUAGAGCCAAGGUAGUUUCUUAAUAUUGAAUCUCACACCAUAAGUCUUCCUGUAGGGCAAGACCCAUACAAGGAACUGGUUCUUGCCAUCUAAGAUUUGAUAUCUUUGGAAUGAAGAGAUCUAAAUCCAAAUCACUGGUCUGACAACGUGAAGUAGUCUAGGAUGGAUCUUCACUUGGCUGACUGCUAUAUUAGCUCCUCACAUACUGCCCCAUUACACACUGUUCCUAAGGCUUUGCGGGUAUUCCUAGCAUGAAAGAGCCUAGAGCUGGUACUCUCAUUUUCCAGCUCUGCUCUUCUCCAGGCUGUCACAGUUCCUGCCUCCUCACUUGUUCUUCACACUGAGGUGAUAAGUGACAAGAGGUUUAUUUUCACAAAGUGAAGACUUAUUGGGUCUAGUAAGUCUCUUUCCGGUGUUAGUGACCUGCUCUGUUCCCGGGCUGGCACUAACUAACUGACUGAUAGAUGACUCUGACAGGUCCCAGUAUAACCCCUUCAUUAACCUGCUGGGCGGGUGUCAUGUUUGCUUGUAACUUUUGCCACUGGGUAUCUAGAGUCCUGAAAGUGUAAGACUUAGGAUGGAAAUGAUUUGUUGGUUGUGCACAGGGCCAUGGUAAGCCCUGGGUGGCCAGAGACAUCAGGCUGAAAGAGCUAGGGUAAGAGUGAUUGGGCAUCUGGUUCAGGCCUUCUUGAGAGGGAAUACUUUGGGAAAGGAUGUUUAGUGAUUUUCCCUUCUUUGCCUGGGUCUGUCCUUGCAGAAGGAGUUUAGUUUUUGCUAUUCCUGACCACCACUAUCAGCAGCAUCAUCGUGUAAUGAAUGUUUGACUCUUUGGCAGCUCAGCUGGUGUCAUUCCUGAGCAGGUGCAAAGAAGACAGUGGUUAGAAGGCCUCAGGAAGCACCUAAAUAUCUAUGAUUUUAGUUGAGAGACCUACUAUCUAUUUAAUCUUUCUUUUCAUAAUAUUUGGGUAACUGAAGGUUAUCUAUAUUUCAAAUAUAAUUCAAAUACACACUAAAUUUCUAAAAGCCACCCUCCAGAAUAUGAACAGAUUAACCUCUCAUUAAACAUCCAGGUAGAAACAAGGCCUCUUGGCUGGGUGUGGUUGUGCAUGCCUGUAAUCCCAGCACUUUGGGAGGCUGAGGCGGGCAGAUUGCUUGAGUUCAGGAGUUUGAGACUACCCUGGGCAACAUGGCAAGACCCUCAUCUCUACAAAUAUAUGAAAAUUAGCUGAGUGUGGUGUGGCAUGUGCCUGUAGUCCCAGCUACUCAGGAGGCUGAGAUGACAGGAAGAUUGGAGCCCAGGAGGUCAAGGCUGCAGUGAGCCAUGUUGAUGAAAGGCCUCUUAUAUGGAAAAUCAUCUGGUCAAAAGUUCCCAUUUUAAAAAUGAGGGAGCCAUCUCCCAGAGAAGUGAAAUGAAUCACUCUAGGAUUCAUGGCUGGUUAUUGACAGAGCUAGGAGGUAAAGUGGUUUCUUGACUUCCAGAUUUUCUAUGAUGCCACAAUGCGCUACCAACCAACUAGUUAAUGAGGAUUGGAGCCGCGAUUAUAUGGCUGGGGUUCUCCAGUAUGGCAUCCCCACUUCCUCCCCUCCAG
rnacentral:lncRNA from 10 species